CCUACGGGAGGCAGCAGUGAGGAAUAUUGGUCAAUGGGCGGGAGCCUGAACCAGCCAAGUCGCGUGCGGGAAGACGGUCCUAUGGAUUGUAAACCUCUUUAGGCGGGGAGCAAUGCCGGGCACGCGUGCCCGGAGGGAGAGUACCCGCAGAAUAAGCAUCGGCUAACUCCGUGCCAGCCGCCGCGGUACUACGGAGGAUGCGAGCGUUAUCCGGAUUUAUUGGGUUUAAAGGGUGCGUAGGCGGAUUUUUAAGUCAGCGGUAAAAUGUCCGGGCUCAACCCGGGCCGGCCGUUGAAACUGGGGAUCUUGAGUGGGCGAGAAGUAUGCGGAAUGCGUGGUGGAGCGGUGAAAUGCAUAGAUAUCACGCAGAACGCCGAUUGCGAAGGCAGCAUACCGGCGCCCGACUGACGCUGAGGCACGAAAGCGUGGGGAUCGAACAGGAUUAGAUACCCGAGUAGUC
rnacentral:rRNA from 1 species